GCUGCUGCUGCUCCAGCUCUCCGGAUCUCUCCAACAGCUGCUCCAGCUCCGAGAACCUCUUCUUGUACUGGAGAAUCUGGGGAUUGGGAGCUGAUGAGUCUUACUCUGUUGCCCAGGCUGCGGUGCAAUGGCGCGAUCUCGGCUCACAGUAACCUCCACCUCCCGGGUUCAAGCGAUUCUCCUGCCUCAGCCUCCCGAGUAGUUGGGAUUACAGACACACACCACUGCGCCCGGUAAGUAUGAGAUCUUCGGGCUCUGCCCCGACACAGCCUCAUACGCCUCACUCUUUACACACACGGUCACUUGCCCCGCGCACUCCCGAGCCCUUUCCAGCCCUGACACACAGCUGGGAUUCUCACUUCCGAUCCGCGGUCCUGAACCCGCUCCCAGGGCACGGGAACUCCUUCGUGGCGAAGCAGCAAGUGGCGAAGCAGCAGCCUCUGCGCUGCCUCAUCUACAUAGAAGUCGCCCUGUCCGUGAUGUCACCGACAGUGCCUUGCCCAGUCCCCGUCUGCCUUUCUGCCACUCAACCGACCAAUCUGCUGCCAGAGCCGCCAAGGGGAAGUGACGUCUGCCUCUCCCUUUUUCCCUCCCGCCCCUGCGUCUGUUCUCUCCCAAAGAAGCUGGUCCUUAGCCUGUGUUAAGGAGCAACCUUUCGGUGGCCAGAUGGAGCCGGGGCAUCCUUCUUCAAAUAAUGGCUUUUAAUUCGCAGACUAGAAUGUUUCGGAUUACAAAAGAAACCGGUUCUCUUCACAUCCUUAUCCUUGUGAUGCAGCAUUCCGCUUGCAAUUGGAAGCCGUUUAAUAUCAGAGAGAAACC
ensembl:lncRNA novel transcript